rnacentral:rRNA from 1 species
UACGGAGGGUGCAAGCGUUAUCCGGAUUCACUGGGUUUAAAGGGUGCGUAGGUGGGCAGUUAAGUCAGUGGUGAAAUCUCCGGGCUUAACCCGGAAACUGCCAUUGAUACUAUCUGUCCUGAAUAUCGUGGAGGUAAGCGGAAUAUGUCAUGUGGCGGUGAAAUGCUUAGAUAUGACAUAGAACACCAAUUGCGAAGGCAGCUUACUACCCGAAUAUUGACACUGAGGCACGAAAGCGUGGGGAUCAAACAGG